UGGGGAAUAUUGCACAAUGGAGGAAACUCUGAUGCAGCAACGCCGCGUGGAGGAUGACGCAUUUCGGUGUGUAAACUCCUUUUAUAUAGGAAGAUAAUGACGGUACUAUAUGAAUAAGCACCGGCUAACUCCGUGCCAGCAGCCGCGGUAAUACGGAGGGUGCAAGCGUUACUCGGAAUCACUGGGCGUAAAGCGCGCGCAGGCGGCUUUGUAAGUUGGAUGUGAAAUCCUAUGGCUCAACCAUAGAGCUGCAUCCAAAACUACUUAGCUAGAGUCUGGGAGGGGAAGAUGGAAUUAGUGGUGUAGGGGUAAAAUCCGUAGAGAUCACUAGGAAUACCAAAAGCGAAGGCGAUCUUCUGGAACAGUACUGACGCUGAGGCGCGAAAGCGUGGGGAGCAAACA
rnacentral:rRNA from 1 species